rnacentral:rRNA from 1 species
UACAGAGGUCCCGAGCGUUGUUCGGAUUUACUGGGCGUAAAGGGUGCGUAGGUGGUCGGGUAAGUCUCAUGUGAAAUCCCGCAGCUUAACUGCGGAACGGCAUGGGAUACUAUUCGGCUCGAGGAUUGGAGGGGGGACUGGAAUUCCCGGUGUAGCGGUGAAAUGCGCAGAUAUCGGGAGGAACACCAAUGGCGAAGGCAGCUCGCUGGGACGUUACUGACGCUGAGGAGCGAAAGCGUGGGGAGCGAACAGG